GGUUUUUUAAGUCUGGAGUGAAAGGCGACGGCUCAACCGUCGACGCGCUUCGGAAACUGGGGGACUUGAGGGCAGGAGAGGCGAGCGGAAUUCCCGGUGUAGCGGUGAAAUGCGUAGAGAUCGGGAAGAACACCAGUGGCGAAGGCGGCUCGCUGGACUGGCCCUGACGCUGACGCGCGAAAGCGUGGGGAGCGAACGGGAUUAGAUACCCCGGUAGUCCACGCCGUAAACGAUGGGCAUUAGGUGUGGGAGGUAUCGACCCCUCCCGUGCCGGAGUUAACACACUAAGUGCCCCGCCUGGGGAGUACGGCCGCAAGGUUGAAACUCAAAGGAAUUGACGGGGGCCCGCACAAGCAGUGGAGCAUGUGGUUUAAUUCGACGCAACGCGAAGAACCUUACCCGGGCUUGACAUCCCCGGAACACCCGAGAGAUCGGGUGGCUCUACGGAGCCGGGAGACAGGUGCUGCAUGGUUGUCGUCAGCUCGUGUCGUGAGAUGUUGGGUUAAGUCCCGCAACGAGCGCAACCCUUGUCCCGUGUUACCAGCGUAAAGGCGGGGACUCACGGGAGACUGCCGGUGACAAACCGGAGGAAGGUGGGGAUGACGUCAAGUCAUCAUGGCCUUUAUGCCUAGGGCUACACACGUGCUACAAUGGCUGGUACAGAGGGUCGCAAAGCCGCGAGGUGGAGCUAAUCCCAAAAAGCCAGCCCCAGUUGGGAUUGCAGUCUGCAAC
rnacentral:rRNA from 1 species